GAGUUUGAUCUUGGCUCAGAUUGAACGCUGGCGGCAUGCCUAACACAUGCAAGUCGAACGGGGUGUAGCAAUACACCUAGUGGCGGACGGGUGAGGAAUACAUAGGAAUCUGCCUCAGAGUGGGGGAUAACCCGGGGAAACCCGGACUAAUACCGCAUGAUCUCGCAAGAGCAAAGCAGGGACCGCAAGGCCUUGUGCUCUGAGAGGAGCCUAUGUCUGAUUAGCUAGUUGGCGGGGUAAUGGCCCACCAAGGCAACGAUCAGUAACUGGGUCUGAGAGGACGAUCAGUCACACCGGAACUGA
rnacentral:rRNA from 1 species